UACGGGGGGGGCAAGCGUUGUUCGGAAUUACUGGGCGUAAAGGGCUCGUAGGCGGCCAACUAAGUCAGACGUGAAAUCCCCAGGCUUAACCUGGGAACUGCGUUUGAUACUGGAUGGCUUGAAUUCGGGAGAGGGAUGCAGAAUUCCAGGUGUAGCGGUGAAAUGCGUAGAUAUCUGGAGGAAUACCGGUGGCGAAGGCGGCAUCCUGGACCGACAUUGACGCUGAGGAGCGAAAGCUAGGGGAGCAAACGGG
rnacentral:rRNA from 1 species